rnacentral:lncRNA from 13 species
AUGUAUGUGAACGGGCCUGUGCUCCGUAGCGUCGUGGUGUUUCUGCUGUUGGGUGUCUCCUACAGUAAGCGCAGGUGCAACUACACGGAUAUACUCAGCACGUACAGAGAACUAAUCUUCGUUGAACUUCAGAAUUUGAAUCUGACAGGCACUUUUGACACAUCCAAAGGGAGGGACCAUUGUCCCUCAGGAAAGCUGCAGCACGUGUUGCGCUCCAUCCAUGGUAUGACGGAGCAAUUCCUGUGUCAGGGCUGGGAUCAGGAACACGGGCGGGGCAGCAGAGAGCAGCGGGCCAUGAAGAAGCCAGUGGAGAUGAUGGCAGUGCUGAUCAGACAGAACUGCAGGCACACUGACCUGGUGAGGAAACAGAAGAGAACAGCGCUGUGUGUGACUGCCCAGAGGACGAAGGGAAAGAACAGGAAGAGGAUGAGACUCAUCAGGGCACUGAUAAACUGUUGGCAGAAGCUGCAGAGUUUGUACACACCCACAAAAUAAUUCAAAAAAAAUACGUUUUUCUUUUUUAUCAAAAUUGUUUCAAAAAAGCUUAUUUUGUAGAGUAGAAUGACAGUUCGUAUGUCAGGCAUAUGCCUCUGUUUAUGACCUUUUACUUCUUGUCUGUAUAGUCCCACACGUAUAAGCUAUAGGUCACCAUAGAUCAGGGAUGGGCCACUUUGAUGUGGGCGGGGGCCACAAAAAAACCGAACUGAUCAUGCUUACUAUAAGUUUAGAUAGCUAGCCGCUAGACUAACUUGCCAAUCUAAAAAUGUUUACCUGACUUGGGCUAAUUAAGUGACUGCUGAUGCACAACCACAUGUUGAAAUUGCACCUUGUGUAAUCUACUAUUCUUACUCUCAGCAGUAAGUUGAGACCCGACUGAGUUCCCCCCAUUAAUUAUGGUUGUUAGAGGAUGGUUUUACAAUGCAGUGAAGAUAUUUACUUGUAAUACCUUGGUGCACACACAUUUUAUAACUCUUAGCUAUCUCACAAUCCAGAUAUUGUUUUUGUGAAACCGAUAGAUACAUUUGUUGUUCUAUGAAAUGUAUUCAAGAUGCCCACUGAUAAAGGUUUCUUAAACUGCAUU